rnacentral:rRNA from 1 species
CCUACGGGUGGCUGCAGUGGGGAAUAUUGGACAAUGGGCGAAAGCCUGAUCCAGCCAUGCCGCGUGUGUGAAGAAGGCCUUCGGGUUGUAAAGCACUUUCAGUGGGGAAGAAAGCCUUGGGGCUAAUACCCUCGAGGAAGGACAUCACCCACAGAAGAAGCACCGGCUAACUCCGUGCCAGCAGCCGCGGUAAUACGGGGGGUGCGAGCGUUAAUCGGAAUUACUGGGCGUAAAGCGCGCGUAGGCGGUCUGAUAAGCCGGUUGUGAAAGCCCCGGGCUCAACCUGGGAACGGCAUCCGGAACUGUCAGGCUAGAGUGCAGGAGAGGAAGGUAGAAUUCCCGGUGUAGCGGUGAAAUGCGUAGAGAUCGGGAGGAAUACCAGUGGCGAAGGCGGCCUUCUGGACUGACACUGACGCUGAGGUGCGAAAGCGUGGGUAGCAAACAGGAUUAGAUACCCUAGUAGUC